UCCUACGGGAGGCAGCAGUCAGGAAUAUUGCGCAAUGGAGGAAACUCUGACGCAGCGACGCCGCGUGAGUGAUGAAGGCCCUAGGGUUGUAAAGCUCUUUUGUGCGGGAAGAUAAUGACGGUACCGCAAGAAUAAGCCCCGGCUAACUUCGUGCCAGCAGCCGCGGUA
rnacentral:rRNA from 1 species